rnacentral:misc_RNA from 1 species
GAUGAAGAACGUAGCGAAAUGCGAUAAGUAGUGUGAAUUGCAGAAUUCAGUGAAUCAUCGAAUCUUUGAACGCACAUUGCGCCCCUUGGUAUUCCAUGGGGCAUGCCUGUUCGAGCGUCAUUUGUACCUUCAAGCUCUGCUUGGUGUUGGGUGUUUGUCUCGCCUCUGCGCGUAGACUCGCCUCAAAACAAUUGGCAGCCGGCGUAUUGAUUUCGGAGCGCAGUACAUCUCGCGCUUUGCACUCAUAAGGACGACGUCCAAAAGUACAUUUUUACACUCUUGACCUCGGAUCAGGUAGGGAUACCCGCUGAACUUAAGCAUAUCAAUAAGCGGAGGA